AGAGUUUGAUUAUGGCUCAGGACGAACGCUGGCGGCGGGCUUAACACAUGCAAGUCGCACGAGAAAGGGUCCUUCGGGACCUGAGUAAAGUGGCGAACGGGUGCGUAACGCGUAGGCCACCUGCCCUGAAGCGGGGAAUAACUGCCGGAAAUGGCAGCUAAUACCGCAUAACGUCCAGAGGUUACAUGACUUCUGGAUCAAAUCCCGACUUAUGUUGGGAGCUUUGGGAUGGGCCUGCGUCGGAUUAGCUGGUUGGUGAGGUAACGGCUCACCAAGGUGACGAUCCGUAGCUGGUCUGAGAGGAUGAUCAGCCACACUGGCACUGAGACACGGGCCAGACUCCUACGGGAGGCAGCAGUGGGGAAUCUUGCGCAAUGGAGGCAACUCUGACGCAGCCACGCCGCGUGCGGGAAGACACCCCUAUGGGGCGUAAACCGCUUUUCUGCGAGAAGAAGGCGCCGGUCUCCGGCGUUUGACGGUACCGCAGGAAUAAGGACCGGCUAACUCCGUGCCAGCAGCCGCGGUAAUACGGAGGGUCCAAGCGUUGUCCGAAAUUACUGGGUGUAAAGGGUGUGCAGGCGGAGCGACAAGUCAGCGGUGAAAGCCUACGGCUCAACCGUAGAAGCGCCGUUGAAACUGCCGUUCUUGAGUCCCGGAGAGGCCAUCGGAAUUCGUGGUGUAGCGGUGAGAUGCGUAGAUAUCACGAGGAACACCAGAAGCGUAGGCGGAUGGCUGGACGGGUACUGACGCUCAGGCACGAAAGCGUGGGGAGCAAACAGGAUUAGAUACCCUGGUAGUCCACGCCGUAAACGAUGGAUGCUCGAUGUGGCCCUGUUUAGGGGGCCAUGUCCAAGCUAACGCGUUAAGCAUCCCACCUGGGGAGUACGAUCGCAAGGGUUGAAACUCAAAUGAAUUGACGGGGA
rnacentral:rRNA from 1 species